UACGUAGGGUGCGAGCGUUGUCCGGAAUUAUUGGGCGUAAAGAGCUUGUAGGCGGUUUGUCGCGUCUGCCGUGAAAAUCCGGGGCUCAACCCCGGACUUGCGGUGGGUACGGGCAGACUAGAGUGUGGUAGGGGAGACUGGAAUUCCUGGUGUAGCGGUGAAAUGCGCAGAUAUCAGGAGGAACACCGGUGGCGAAGGCGGAUCUCUGGGCCUUACCUGACGCUGAGGAGCGAAAGCAUGGGGAGCAAACAGG
rnacentral:rRNA from 1 species